UUCCACCCGCAUUGGUUUUUAGAUC
rnacentral:piRNA from 1 species